UACGUAGGGUGCGAGCGUUGUCCGGAAUUAUUGGGCGUAAAGAGCUCGUAGGCGGCCUGUCGCGUCGGAUGUGAAAGCCCGGGGCUUAACCCCGGGUCUGCAUUCGAUACGGGCAGGCUAGAGUUCGGUAGGGGAGAUCGGAAUUCCUGGUGUAGCGGUGAAAUGCGCAGAUAUCAGGAGGAACACCGGUGGCGAAGGCGGAUCUCUGGAACGGUACUGACGCUGAGGUGCGAAAGCGUGGGGAGCAAACAGG
rnacentral:rRNA from 1 species